GUGAUUAACGCGAAGAACCUUACCCACCUUUGACAUGUACGGAAGUCGCUAGAGAUAGCUUCGUGCUCGAAAGAGAGCCGUAACACAGGUGCUGCAUGGCUGUCGUCAGCUCGUGUCGUGAGAUGUUGGGUUAAGUCCCGCAACGAGCGCAACCCUUGUCAUUAGUUGCUACGAAAGGGCACUCUAAUGAGACUGCCGGUGACAAACCGGAGGAAGGUGGGGAUGACGUCAAGUCCUCAUGGCCCUUAUAGGUGGGGCUACACACGUCAUACAAUGGCUGGUACAAAGGGUUGCCAACCCGCGAGGGGGAGCUAAUCCCAUAAAGCCAGUCGUAGUCCGGAUCGCAGUCUGCAACUCGACUGCGUGAAGUCGGAAUCGCUAGUAAUCGUGGAUCAGAAUGUCACGGUGAAUACGUUCCCGGGUCUUGUACACACCGCCCGU
rnacentral:rRNA from 1 species